rnacentral:rRNA from 1 species
AACUUUCAACAACGGAUCUCUUGGUUCUGGCAUCGAUGAAGAACGCAGCGAAAUGCGAUAAGUAGUGUGAAUUGCAGAAUUCAGUGAAUCAUCGAAUCUUUGAACGCACAUUGCGCCCUUUGGCAUUCCAAAGGGCAUGCCUGUUCGAGCGUCAUUU